rnacentral:rRNA from 1 species
GUAGGUGGCAAGCGUUGUCCGGAAUUAUUGGGCGUAAAGCGCGCGCAGGCGGUCCUUUAAGUCUGAUGUGAAAGCCCACGGCUCAACCGUGGAGGGUCAUUGGAAACUGGGGGACUUGAGUACAGAAGAGGAAAGCGGAAUUCCAAGUGUAGCGGUGAAAUGCGUAGAGAUUUGGAGGAACACCAGUGGCGAGGGCGGCUUUCUGGUCUGUAACUGACGCUGAGGCGCGAAAGCGUGGGGAGCAAACAGGAUUAGAUACCCUGGUAGUCCACGCCGUAAACGAUGAGUGCUAAGUGUUAGGGGGUUUCCCGCCCCCCUUAGUGCUGCAGCUAACGCAUUAAGCACUCCGCCUGGGGAGUACGGCCGCAAGGCUG